GAUGAACGCUGGCGGCGUGCCUAAUACAUGCAAGUCGAGCGAACAGACGAGGAGCUUGCUCCUCUGACGUUAGCGGCGGACGGGUGAGUAACACGUGGAUAACCUACCUAUAAGACUGGGAUAACUUCGGGAAACCGGAGCUAAUACCGGAUAAUAUAUUGAACCGCAUGGUUCAAUAGUGAAAGACGGCUUUGCUGUCACUUAUAGAUGGAUCCGCGCCGCAUUAGCUAGUUGGUAAGGUAACGGCUUACCAAGGCGACGAUGCGUAGCCGACCUGAGAGAGUGAUCGGCCACACUGGAACUGAGACGCGGGCCAGACUCCGACGGGAGGCAGCAGUAGGGAAUCUUCCGCAAUGGGCGAAAGCCUGACGUAGCAACGCCGCGUGAGUAAUGAAGGUCUUCGGAUCGUAAAACUCUGUUAUUAGGGAAGAACAAAUGUGUAAGUAACUAUGCACGUCUUGACGGUACCUAAUCAGAAGGCCACGGCUAACUACGUG
rnacentral:rRNA from 1 species